rnacentral:rRNA from 1 species
CAAUAGCGUAUAUUUAAGUUGUUGCAGUUAAAAAGCUCGUAGUUGGAUUUCGGAUGGGAUUUGCCGGUCCGUCGUUACGAUGUGCACUGGCCAGUCCUAUCUUGUUGUCGGGGACUAGCUCCUUGGAUUCACUUCCUGGGACUAGGAGCUGACGAGGUUACUUUGAGUAAAUUAGAGUGUUCAAAGCAAGCCUACGCUCUGAAUACAUUAGCAUGGAAUAACACGAUAGGACUCUGGCUUAUCUUGUUGGUCUGUGAGACCAGAGUAAUGACUAAGAGGGACAGUCGGGGACAUUCGUAUUUCAUUGUCAGAGGUGAAAUUCUUGGAUUUAUGAAAGACGAACUUCUGCGAAAGCAUUUGUCAAGGAUGUUUUCAUUAA